GCAAGUCGAGCGGUAGAGAGAAGCUUGCUUCUCUUGAGAGCGGCGGACGGGUGAGUAAUGCCUAGGAAUCUGCCUGGUAGUGGGGGAUAACGUUCGGAAACGGACGCUAAUACCGCAUACGUCCUACGGGAGAAAGCAGGGGACCUUCGGGCCUUGCGCUAUCAGAUGAGCCUAGGUCGGAUUAGCUAGUUGGUGAGGUAAUGGCUCACCAAGGCGACGAUCCGUAACUGGUCUGAGAGGAUGAUCAGUCACACUGGAACUGAGACACGGUCCAGACUCCUACGGGAGGCAGCAGUGGGGAAUAUUGGACAAUGGGCGAAAGCCUGAUCCAGCCAUGCCGCGUGUGUGAAGAAGGUCUUCGGAUUGUAAAGCACUUUAAGUUGGGAGGAAGGGUUGUAGAUUAAUACUCUGCAAUUUUGACGUUACCGACAGAAUAAGCACCGGCUAACUCUGUGCCAGCAGCCGCGGUAAUACAGAGGGUGCAAGCGUUAAUCGGAAUUACUGGGCGUAAAGCGCGCGUAGGUGGUUUGUUAAGUUGGAUGUGAAAUCCCCGGGCUCAACCUGGGAACUGCAUUCAAAACUGACUGACUAGAGUAUGGUAGAGGGUGGUGGAAUUUCCUGUGUAGCGGUGAAAUGCGUAGAUAUAGGAAGGAACACCAGUGGCGAAGGCGACCACCUGGACUAAUACUGACACUGAGGUGCGAAAGCGUG
rnacentral:rRNA from 1 species